GCCCUUGUUUCUAUUUCAUGUUUUUUUUUGGGGGGGAGGGGAGGGGGGUUAUCUUUUGAUAGUCUUCAUAUAAAGAAUGAAAAAAAAAACAACAGCUAGAACAUGUGGAAGGUUGACACUAUUGGAAUCAAUUGUUGUUUAAUGUAAUUUCGUUUCUUUAGUUUAGGAUUCAAUUUAGACCAAUGGAAGAGAUCUGCAUCUUCUAAAUCUAAACAUUCAAUUAAAGUUGAUAGUUAAUUAUCUAAAAUUCAACUAGUUGAAUUCUGUCAUUUAACAAC
rnacentral:lncRNA from 1 species